rnacentral:rRNA from 1 species
UGGGGAAUAUUGCACAAUGGGCGCAAGCCUGAUGCAGCCAUGCCGCGUGUAUGAAGAAGGCCUUCGGGUUGUAAAGUACUUUCAGCGAGGAGGAAGGCGAUAAGGUUAAUAACCUUGUCGAUUGACGUUACUCGCAGAAGAAGCACCGGCUAACUCCGUGCCAGCAGCCGCGGUAAUACGGAGGGUGCUAGCGUUAAUCGGAAUUACUGGGCGUAAAGCGCACGCAGGCGGUCUGUUAAGUCAGAUGUGAAAUCCCCGGGCUCAACCUGGGAACUGCAUUUGAAACUGGCAGGCUUGAGUCUUGUAGCGGGGGGUAGAAUUCGAGGUGUAGCGGUGAAAUGCGUAAAGAUCUGGAGGAAUACGGGUGGCGAAGGCGACCCCCUAGACAAAGACUGACGCUCAGGUGCAAAAGCGUGGGGAGAAAACA